AGGACGAACGCUGGCGGCGUGCUUAACACAUGCAAGUCACGGGGGCCCGCAAGGGUAACCGGCGAACGGGUGCGUAACACGUGAGCAACCUGCCUUUGUGUGGGGGAUAGCCGGGCUAACGCCCGGGUAAUACCGCAUACGGUUGCCGAGGGGAGUCCCUUGGCAAAGAAACCUCCGGGGCACAAAGAGGGGCUCGCGGCCUAUCAGCUAGUUGGGGGGUAAUGGCCCACCAAGGCGACGACGGGUAGCU
rnacentral:rRNA from 1 species